GCGGCGUGCCUAAUACAUGCAAGUCGAACGAGUUCUCGUUGAUGAUCGGUGCUUGCACCGAGAUUCAACAUGGAACGAGUGGCGGACGGGUGAGUAACACGUGGGUAACCUGCCCUUAAGUGGGGGAUAACAUUUGGAAACAGAUGCUAAUACCGCAUAGAUCCAAGAACCGCAUGGUUCUUGGCUGAAAGAUGGCGUAAGCUAUCGCUUUUGGAUGGACCCGCGGCGUAUUAGCUAGUUGGUGAGGUAAUGGCUCACCAAGGCGAUGAUACGUAGCCGAACUGAGAGGUUGAUCGGCCACAUUGGGACUGAGACACGGCCCAAACUCCUACGGGAGGCAGCAGUAGGGAAUCUUCCACAAUGGACGCAAGUCUGAUGGAGCAACGCCGCGUGAGUGAAGAAGGCUUUCGGGUCGUAAAACUCUGUUGUUGGAGAAGAAUGGUCGGCAGAGUAACUGUUGUCGGCGUGACGGUAUCCAACCAGAAAGCCACGGCUAACUACGUGCCAGCAGCCGCGGUAAUACGUAGGUGGCAAGCGUUAUCCGGAUUUAUUGGGCGUAAAGCGAGCGCAGGCGGUUUUUUAAGUCUGAUGUGAAAGCCCUCGGCUUAACCGAGGAAGCGCAUCGGAAACUGGGAAACUUGAGUGCAGAAGAGGACAGUGGAACUCCAUGUGUAGCGGUGAAAUGCGUAGAUAUAUGGAAGAACACCAGUGGCGAAGGCGGCUGUCUGGUCUGUAACUGACGCUGAGGCUCGAAAGCAUGGGUAGCGAACAGGAUUAGAUACCCUGGUAGUCCAUGCCGUAAACGAUGAAUGCUAGGUGUUGGAGGGUUUCCGCCCUUCAGUGCCGCAGCUAACGCAUUAAGCAUUCCGCCUGGGGAGUACGACCGCAAGGUUGAAACUCAAAGGAAUUGACGGGGGCCCGCACAAGCGGUGGAGCAUGUGGUUUAAUUCGAAGCAACGCGAAGAACCUUACCAGGUCUUGACAUCUUUUGAUCACCUGAGAGAUCAGGUUUCCCCUUCGGGGGCAAAAUGACAGGUGGUGCAUGGUUGUCGUCAGCUCGUGUCGUGAGAUGUUGGGUUAAGUCCCGCAACGAGCGCAACCCUUAUGACUAGUUGCCAGCAUUUAGUUGGGCACUCUAGUAAGACUGCCGGUGACAAACCGGAGGAAGGUGGGGAUGACGUCAAAUCAUCAUGCCCCUUAUGACCUGGGCUACACACGUGCUACAAUGGAUGGUACAACGAGUUGCGAGACCGCGAGGUCAAGCUAAUCUCUUAAAGCCAUUCUCAGUUCGGACUGUAGGCUGCAACUCGCCUACACGAAGUCGGAAUCGCUAGUAAUCGCGGAUCAGCACGCCGCGGUGAAUACGUUCCCGGGCCUUGUACACACCGCCCGUCACACCAUGAGAGUUUGUAACACCCGAAGCCGGUGGCGUAACCCUUUUAGGGAGCGAGCCGUCUAAGGUGGGACAAAUGAUUAGGG
rnacentral:rRNA from 2 species